CGCCGUAUUUCCUGCAGCCAAUGUGGGGUCUACUCUAUAUUAUGUCUAUGGUCUCUGGACUUUAUCGGAGGCUUUAACAACAGGUUUGACAGGGAGAAAGUUCCUCAUUCUGCUACAAAAAACAGCUGGUUUCCUUCUCCUGCUGAGAAAUCAGAGAAAACACGCGGAUGAAAAGCAACUCCAGGAGCGCUGAGAUCCAGGUUUAGAUCCAACGCUUGUUAAAUAGUUGCCAGGAGAAACCACGAUGCUGCAGCCAUAUUGAGAGGGAAGCUGGAGAACCUGUCUGCAAGUGUCUGAAAGCCGCACGUCGCCGUGGCAACAAGUGUUUAUGACACCCGAGCCGCCGUCUGCUGCUGCAUGUGGAAUAUCAUCCAGGAAUGCCGUGCGGAGGCACACCUGACAGCCAGUUGGGCGGCGGCUCCGGUUUAUAGCGGCCCGCUCCGCUUCCGUCUCUGCAUCCUUUAACUGCACAGGAACACAUGAGUCACAGCGUUACCUGAUGUGGGUGUGAACGCCUGUUGCUUUAAGAGGCAACAAGCUGUUGUUUUAGUUAGCAGCCGAG